rnacentral:lncRNA from 1 species
UUCCCUUUGCUUCUCCUCUUGCACCAGAAGAGCAAAGGCUUGUGCCAUUGAAGGCAGUGGAUUCAUCAUUAGGAUGCUCCCUCGAACUACAGUGUAAACCUCAUUCAAGCCCAUUAGGAAUUGUAUCAAGACCUAUCUUGUUCAACUUUAUGCAUAUUCUCUUUUGCACCACAAGUGCAUUGAUAGUUACAAAUAGAUUUUGCACUCAGAUUGAUUAAUUCUUUCCACAAUUUUUUCAUCUUCGUGUAAUAUCCAGUAAUGUCGAAUACUCCUUGGCUUAAAUCAUUGAUUUCCUUUUGGAUCUGGUAUAGUUUUGCUCCAUUCGUCUGGU